AUUGAACGCUGGCGGCAUGCCUUACACAUGCAAGUCGAACGGUAACAGGUCUUCGGAUGCUGACGAGUGGCGAACGGGUGAGUAAUACAUCGGAACGUGCCCGAUCGUGGGGGAUAACGGAGCGAAAGCUUUGCUAAUACCGCAUACGAUCUACGGAUGAAAGCAGGGGACCGCAAGGCCUUGCGCGGACGGAGCGGCCGAUGGCAGAUUAGGUAGUUGGUGGGAUAAAAGCUUACCAAGCCGACGAUCUGUAGCUGGUCUGAGAGGACGACCAGCCACACUGGGACUGAGACACGGCCCAGACUCCUACGGGAGGCAGCAGUGGGGAAUUUUGGACAAUGGGCGAAAGCCUGAUCCAGCCAUGCCGCGUGCAGGAUGAAGGCCUUCGGGUUGUAAACUGCUUUUGUACGGAACGAAAAGACUCUUUCUAAUAAAGAGGGUCCAUAACGGUACCGUAAGAAUAAGCACCGGCUAACUACGUG
rnacentral:rRNA from 1 species